GAUGAACGCUAGCGGCAGGCCUAAUACAUGCAAGUCGAACGAGAUUAAGGAGCUUGCUUCUUAUGAAAGUGGCGCACGGGUGCGUAACGCGUAUGCAACCUACCUUUAUCAGGGGGAUAGCCCGGAGAAAUCCGGAUUAAUACCGCAUAACAUCAUGGGAUAGCAUUAUUUUAUGAUCAAACAUUUAUGGGAUAAAGAUGGGCAUGCGUGUCAUUAGCUAGUUGGCGGGGUAACGGCCCACCAAGGCGACGAUGACUAGGGGAUCUGAGAGGAUGGCCCCCACCACUGGUACUGAGACACGGACCAGACUCCUACGGGAGGCAGCAGUAAGGAAUAUUGGUCAAUGGAGGGAACUCUGAACCAGCCAUGCCGCGUGCAGGAAGACUGCCCUAUGGGUUGUAAACUGCUUUUAUCCGGGAAUAAACCUGAGUAUGUGUACUUAGCUGAAUGUACCGGAAGAAUAAGGAUCGGCUAACUCCGUGCCAGCCGCCGCAGUAAUAC
rnacentral:rRNA from 1 species